rnacentral:rRNA from 1 species
AUUGAACGCUGGCGGAAUGCUUUACACAUGCAAGUCGAACGGCAGCACGGACUUCGGUCUGGUGGCGAGUGGCGAACGGGUGAGUAAUGUAUCGGAACGUGCCCAGUCGUGGGGGAUAACGUAGUGAAAAUUACGCUAAUACCGCAUACGAUCUAUGGAUGAAAGCGGGGGAUCGCAAGACCUCGCGCGAUUGGAGCGGCCGAUAUCAGAUUAGGUAGUUGGUGGGGUAAAGGCCCACCAAGCCAACGAUCGGUAGCUGGUCUGAGAGGACGACCAGCCACACGGGAACUGAGACACGGUCCAGACUCCUACGGGAGGCAGCAGUGGGUAAUUUUGGACAGUGGGCGAAAGCCUGAUCCAGCCAUUCCGCGUGCAGGAUGAAGGCCCUCGGGUUGUAAACUGCUUUUGUACAGAACGAAAAGGUUUCUACUAAUACUAGGAGCUCAUGACGGUACUGUAAGAAUAAGCACCGGCUAACUACGUGCCAGCCGCCGCCGUAA